AAAUGUUUGUCGCUGCCAUUCGCAAAUCCACCAUGGGAAAAAGCUUAGGCCUUCGAUUGAAUGUACGCAGGUUGCCCAUCUUCUCGGAUGAAGCCUGUAGCGUGGUGGCCCUUGUAAGGUACAGGAUAUAUCUCCUCUAGAUUAUAGUUCACACACACUCACGAUCUGAUACAGGAAUUGAGUUACAGAUGAACUGGGGGAGCAGAGGUAGGAGAAGAGAGGAAGGUAGCCGCCGCUGGGUUGGUCCGUGAUCCACUGGAUGGUUUGCUCCUUGCCUUCGAUCUGGUACUUGUAGUUGCAGCGAUGGGGUAGCAGGCGGGCCAGGUCCAUGAGCGGCCCAGUGGGCAAGCCCAUGUGCGUACAUGCUAGGAGGGCUCCUAACAGCCCUGAUGGAGUUUGAUUGGUGGGGCUGGUCUUGGGGAAGAAGACUCCGCCAAUGGGUGUCGCGGGGCGGUCAUCUGUGGAUUAGGGUGGAGCUCUCUUGGCCAGUGUGCUGCUGUGUGCGCGCGAGGAAAGUGUUGCUGCCGGCGGCGCCACCAUGUCUUUUACAGUGAGAGUGAGGGUGACAACGCUGAUGCCAUUGAACACGACUGUGUUGAAGCACAUCUUGAUAUGGACCAGGAGGCUUUGAUUCAAGAUCGAACAGAGAGUGCUGAUGGAGGCUCUGGGUGGACUAAGAGGAGUGCAGGGUGAGAAUCGGUAAUCAGCCUCCGGAUAGGGCUCCAUGUCAUGAAAGAGUCGGCGCAGUGGAACAGACAAUUAAGGAGUAUGCUGAUAAACUGGGGGACCAUGUAGUUGAGCUUGCUAUUGGUUUAACAUUUGACUCGUUGGGCGAAGCAUAUGAUUUCUAUAGCCCGUACUCAUGGGAGCAUGGUUUCAGCAUAAGGUACGGCAAAAGUAGGCUGAAUGCCGUGAAGACGAAGUGUAUGCAGGAAGUGGUUUAUGGAUGCUCUGUAAGUUCUUUGUUGUCAGGGCCCGUAUAUAUAUGGAAAAAUCAUAGUAUCUUAGGGAACGUUUGGUUGCAUUGCUGGGUGGGCUAUGCUUAAGCUAGCCCAGCUAGCCUAGCUCAGCUUUGCCAGCCUUGCCGUAAGCUACGCAUUUGGAUGCAUCAGUUUUGCUGGCAGUUACGUGCGUGUACGUGCGGGCCAACGUGGACCUUUUUUUGUGCAUGCUUGCUUGCCGUUGAGAGCGAGCCGAUUCGGCUCUCCACGAUGGGCGAGGUUUUCCUGGCCUAGCGAGGCUAGCUGGCCCCUAAAAGCCAGGUUUUCUUAGCGGUACCAAACGCUAGUCCUUGCCUAGCGAGGCUAUAACUGAUUUUGCCGAGGAACCAAACGCACCCUUAAUUGACGGAAAUGGUUAUCAUCGUGCUAAUCCGUUCUAAGUUUAUGCGUUGCUGAAUCGGCUCGCUGAGGCAAUCAACAGUUUCUACGAGGCUGAUGUGUAGGCCUUUCCUAGCCUUUGGAGGCGUUCUUUUUUCUGUGUUGGGCGACUGGGCGUUUCUCUGCUAUCCCUCUCUGUAUGGGGUGUGGG